GGUCGUUUGGCCUAGUGGUUAUGGCGUCUGUCUUACAUAAAGAUCUUGAUCGGUCUUAUGUCUGUACACAGAAGGUCCUGGGUUCGACCCCCAGAAUGACCA